CACGUAGGUGGCGAGCGUUGUCCGGAAUUAUUGGGCGUAAAGGAUGCGUAGGUGGUCUUUUAAGUGAGAUGUGAAAUCCCUGGGCUUAACCCAGGAACUGCAUUUCAAACUGGAAGACUAGAGUGCAGGAGAGGAAAGUGGAAUUCCUAGUGUAGCGGUGAAAUGCGUAGAGAUUAGGAGGAACACCAGUGGCGAAGGCGACUUUCUGGACUGUAACUGACACUGAGGCAUGAAAGCGUAGGGAGCAAACAGG
rnacentral:rRNA from 1 species